AUGGCAGUUCCCAGGUUGAGCCCGGGGAUUUCACCACUGUCUUACAAAACCGCCUGCGCACGCUUUACGCCCAGUAAUUCCGAUUAACGCUUGCACCCUACGUAUUACCGCGGCUGCUGGCACGUAGUUAGCCGGUGCUUAUUCUUACGGUACCGUCAUGACCCGGGGAUAUUA
rnacentral:rRNA from 1 species